AGCGAACGCUGGCGGCAGGCUUAACACAUGCAAGUCGAGCGGGCACUUUCGGGUGUCAGCGGCGGACGGGUGAGUAACGCGUGGGAACGUGCCCUCUGGUUCGGAAUAACUCAGGGAAACUUGAGCUAAUACCGGAUACGCCCUUUUGGGGAAAGGCUUGCUGCCGGAGGAUCGGCCCGCGUCUGAUUAGCUAGUUGGUGAGGUAACGGCUCACCAAGGCGACGAUCAGUAGCUGGUCUGAGAGGAUGAUCAGCCACACUGGGACUGAGACACGGCCCAGACUCCUACGGGAGGAAGAAGUGGGGAAUAUUGGAAAAUGGGCGCAAGCCUGAUCCAGCCAUGCCGGGUGAGUGAUGAAGGCCUUAGGGUUGUAAAGCUCUUUUAUCCGGGACGAUAAGGACGGUACCGGAGGAAUAAGCCCCGGCUAACUUCGU
rnacentral:rRNA from 1 species